CCUACGGGUGGCAGCAGUCGGGAAUAUUGCGCAAUGGAGGAAACUCUGACGCAGUGACGCCGCGUGCAGGAAGAAGGUUUUCGGAUUGUUAACUGCUUUAGACAGGGAAGAAAAAGACAGUACCUGUAGAAUAAGCUCUGUCCAACUACGUGCCAGCAGCCGCGGUAAUACGUAGGGAGCAAGCGUUAUCCGGAUUUAGUGGGUGUAAAGGGUGCGUAGACGGGUAAGCAAGUUAGUUGUGAAAUCCCUCGGCUUAACUGAGGAACUGCAACUGAAACUACUUCCCUUGAGUACUGGAGAGGUAAGUGGAAUUCGUAGUGUAGCGGUGAAAUGCGUAGAUAUUAGGAGGAACACCAAUGGCGAAGGCAACUUUCUGGACAGUAACUGACGUUGAGGCACGAAAGUGUGGGGAGCAAACAGGAUUAGAUACCCUUGUAGUC
rnacentral:rRNA from 1 species